GCCACGCUAGGCUUUAAUCCAAAGAAUAAAACAACCAACCCAAAAGCAAAAAUCAGAUCCAAAAAAUAAACAGAAAUGGCCUAUGAAACAAAAUCAAAGUAAAAAAAAAAAAAACCUAAUCUUAAUCUAGUCAAAUCAACAACUUUUUAGAUGAUAGUAGUUUCCCAAAAAGCUUUUUUAUCUUCUGCUAUCAAUUCUCCAUGGAGGUCUUCCAUAAUCACAUUAGUCUGGAUGCCUUGGUCGCCGUUUCUCCAGUUCGUGACGAAUGUAGCCUAGAACAGCUCCCAUAAGAUAUUGUCCUUCUCCCCUUUUCAAUGUUUCAUACGCAAGAGUAUGGGCACAUUCAUUAUUUGUUCUAAGGAUAAAGUGGAAAACAAUCUCUUGAAAAUGAACCUUUUUGCUGUUAAUAUCUCUGAUGAGUGCCCCAAUAACUGAUUUAUCUGGAUCUGUAGUUUGACAUUUCUUUAUUAUUGUUCUUGAGUUUACCGCUAUUUCUAGAGUGUUAAAUUCCAUUGAAAUUCCUAACUGAAUGGCUCGUAACCCUGCAUGUUCUUCACCACAAAAGGAGAUGAUAUUGCAGUGUGAAUGACUGUCUUUGAUGCCAAAAUCUCGCCCCCCCACAUCCCAAACUACCAGUCCCGAAGUAGAUCUGGAAGAACGCUUGUCGAAGGCUGCGUCAAAAUAAAUUGUCACCCUCGUUUUCCUUUAAGUCUGUUUGUGGCCUCUGUCAACAUUUAAGGUGAGUUUCCUCUCCUUUAGGCCUUCCAACUCAAAAAUGUAACUUUGGAUUCGUUUCAAGAUAUCCCUACCCGUCUUGAUUUUUCUUUCAUGAAUUAUCUGAUUUAUAUGCGUCCAGAUUGACCAUAGUCCACCGUAAAAAAGACGACACUGUUUACUAUUUCCCCAACUAAAAACCCAGGUGAGCCAUUCCCACAUACUUUGAAUCACAUUAUUAAACACCCAGGAAAGAUUUAAGUUCUGCCAUACCUCAAUUGUUGUAAGGCGGUGGCAAAAAAUGUGAUUGUUGUUUUCUUCAGAAUUACGACAACGAGGGCAAUAAAUUUUCUCUUCCAUUCUUUUAUGCUUGAGAUUAGUUAAAGUAGGGAUAUAGUUCCAAGAGAUUCUCCAUACAGUGAUUUUGACUUUCGAAGGAAGUUGUAAAUUCCAUAAUUUCCUGUAGAAAUCUUUAGUCUCGGUCUAUAUUAAAUUAUUACUAGGACUCAAAUUAGCCACAUGUAAUAGUUUAUAGGCACUUCUGACUGAGAAAUCGCCUGAAGGUUUUCUUCUCCAAACUUGAAAGUCGUCGUGUGCUGUCUCUGCCAAAGGAAUUUACAGAAUUUUCUUUGCAGUAUCCGUAUUAAAGGUAUUAAUAAUUAUAUUUGUCUUUCAAGAUUUGUUUGUGGCAUCAAUUAAAUCCGAUACUAACUUGAUAUUUUCAUAGUUGGCAUCAUUGUAUAAUCUAUCUGUAUCGGCUCUCGAUAUCCACAAAUCACCCCAAACAGAAAUUCGAUCCCCCAUACUGACCCUCCAACAUAGACCGCUUUCCAUGAG
rnacentral:lncRNA from 1 species